rnacentral:lncRNA from 1 species
UUUUUUGAUGUGUCAGAGACAACUUGUCAAGUUCUAUAAAAAAGAUAUGCUAUUGGGAUUUCAUUUGGAAAGUAAUGAAUUCAUUGUUUGUGUAAAUUAUAAUUUUAUUUUUAGUCCUCCCAACCCCAAACAUUUUAUGUAAUUUCUUUCAUUCAGCUACUCUUUUAUGUUCUUCAGUUAAUUUAAUUGAUCAUAUUAAGCUAUAUUAAGUAUAUCAUUGAUACAAGCAUUCAAAUUAAAUUUUGUUGUUUAUAUGCAGCUUGUAAUUUUUUUAAAGACUUAUUUUUAUUUGAGAGAGAGAGAACACACACACGUGCGUGAGUUGGGAGAGGGGGAGAAGAAGGGAGAGGGAAAGCAGCCUCCUCUUUGAGUGUGGAGACCAACAUGGGGCUCAAUCCCACGAUCCUGAGAUCAGAACCCUGAGAUCAUGACCAAACCAAAACCAUGAGUUGGACACUUAACUGACUGAGCUGCCCAGGCACCCCUGCAGCUUGUCAAUUUUUUCUUGGUUAUAUUCCUACGUAUAUUAGUUUUUGCUGCUGUUGUGUGAAUGACUUCAUUUUUACUUACAUUUUCUAAUUGGACAUUAGUGGGCUAUAUAAUUACUGAAUAGAUAUCUUCUAAAUAUUAUUUAUAGAAACUCUCCUACAGGUCCAUUAACACAGUUAAAAAGAGAUCUGUGCACAAGGCUGUAUAGUUUAACAUAGUAAGGGCAAAUAAUGGGAAGUAGCCUAAAUGUUUAUCAAUAUGGGACUAAUUAAAUUGUAGUGCAUUCACAUAAUGAGAUGCUUUGCAGUCUUAAAAGGAAUGAACUAGAUCUACAUAGUCUGAAUGGAAAGUUCUCUAGGGGUGCCUGGGUGGCUCAGUCAUUAAGGGUCUGACUCUUGAUUUCCGCUCAGGUUAUGAUCUCAGGAUUGUGAGACUGAGCCCUGGGUUGGGCUCUGUGCUGGGUGUGGAGACUGCUUAAGAUUCUCUCUAUCCUGGGACGCCUGGGUGGUUCAGCGGUUGUGCACCUACCUUCCUUUGGCUCAGGGUGUGAUCCUGGAGUCUUGGGAUGGAGUCCCACAUCGGGCUCCCUGCAUGGAGCCUGCUUCUCCCUCUGCCUGUGUCUCUGCCUCUGUGUGUGUGUGUGUGUCUCUCACGAAUAAAUAAAUAAAAUCUUUAAAAAAAAAAAAGAUUCUCUCUAUCCCUUUCCCUGUGCCCCUCCCCCAACUCUCUCUCUCUCUCAAAAAAACAAAGUUCUCUAAGACAUAUUGAAAAUAUGUUGUUAUAUAAAGAAGCAAUGUGUUUUAUAUUUUUGUGUUUUUAUAUGUUUGUAUAUGCUUAAUUUUUUUUUAAGAUUUUAUUUAUUUACUCAUGAGAGAGACAGAGAGGCAGAGACACAGAGGGAGAAGCAGGCUCCUCACAGGAAGCCUGAUGCGGGACUCGAUCCUGGGACCAGGCUCAUGCCCUGAGCCAAAGGCAGACGCUCAACUGCUGAGUCAGCCAGGCAUCCCUGCAUAUUUCUGAAAGGAUACACACUAGUUAAUGGUGAUACUUCCAGAGAAAGAGACUGGGAAAUUGGUGUGUGUCAACAACAGUGAUGUAUUCACACUAUUUUUCUCUUCCAGGGGACAUGGGGAGACUACAUUUCCCAACCUUUCUAGUAGAUGUGAUCUUAUCAAUGAAAAUGUAGGCAAAAGAAUGUGGCACUUAGAGUCCAAGGUAAUUAAGUGUCAAUGUGAAAGCUUUCCACUCCUCCCCACCCUCACCCCCCGGGAUCAAAGAGCUUUGAGAUGAUGGAGAUGCUGGGUAGAAGCAGCUUGGAUCUGAGUCACUGCUGAAUGAAAAUAACAUACCAAUAUGGCCUGCCCCACACUGGGAUGUGAGUGAGAAAUAAACCUUUGUGUGUUAAGCCACUAAGAUUUGAAGGCUUAUUUGGUACCACAUGUAAUGUGGCCAGAGAUUUUUUUGACACUUUUCAUUGAAAGCUAGGAUCUGUGUCCCCUGUCCUUGAAUCUGGGCUGGACUGUGAUUGCUUUGGACAACAGAAUGCAGACCAAGUGAUGCUGUGCUAGUUUCUGAGCUCAAGCCAUAUAAGACUAGCAGCUUACUGCCUAUUGAAAUGCUUGUUUGGGGAUGCUUCCUUUCAGAAUCUAACCAAGUUCUGAGAAACCAAAUGAAAUGGCUAUCUGUAGGCACUCUGGUUUUCAGUUCUAAUCAGUCUUCCAGCCAAUAGCCAGCAUCUCCUGCUAGCCAAACAAGUGAGUCAUAAUUAGCAAUUAAUCCCAUCAAAUCUUCAGAUGAUUCCAUUCCGAGUCGGACUGCAACCACAUGAGCCUUGAAGUGAGAAACACCCAGCUGAACUCAGCCAACACAGAGAAUCAUGAGAGCAGAAUUAUGAGUGCUAUUAAAAAAUAGUUGUAUCAUAGAGAAACAAAAGACCACAGAACAGCCUGUCUCAUCUUAACCAAUAUAAUGGUGUGAGGCAAAAAGUCUCACUCUUGUAGUAUUUAAAUUUUUGGCUAUGUGCAUGUGAUUUCUGUUUCAAUUAGAUACAGCUACAAAUCUAAUUUAAAAAUAUUUUUAAAAAAUAAAAGAAAUAAAAAAAUAAAAAUAUUUUUGAGGGCAGCCCGGGUGGCUCAGUGGUUUAGUGCCACCUUCAGCCCAGGGUGUAAUCCUGGAGACCAAGGAUCGAGUCCCACGUCGGGCUCCUUGCAUGGAGCCUGUUUCUCCCUCUGCCUGUGUCUCUGCCUUUCUCUCUCUCUGUCACUCAUGAAUAAAUAAAUAAAAUCUUAAAAAAAAUUUUUUUGGAUAUAGAUACAAUUUUUAAUUAAUUUAAAAAGUAGGCUCCAGGGAUGCCUGGGUGGCUCAGUGGUUGAGUGUCUUCCUUUGGCUCAGGUCAUGAUCCCGGGGUCUGGGAUCCAGUCCCACAUUGGGCUCCCCAUACAGAGCCUGCUCCUCCCUCUGCCUGUGUCUUGCCUCUCUCUCUCUCUGUGUCUCUCAUGAAUAAAUAAAUAAAAUCUUAAAAAAAAAAUAAAGUAGGCUCCAUGCCCAGCGUGGAGCCCAAUCUGGGGCUUGAACUCACAACCCUGAGAUCAAGAUCUGAGCUGAGAUCAAGAGUCCGACACUUAACUGACUGAGCUACCCAGGCACCCAAUAUAGCUACAAGUUUGAAUUCACAACUUCUAACCAUUGGGCCAUUAAAACUGGUUUUGAAUAGUUUUGAUACCACAGCAACAGUAAUAAAUAUUUACUGAUCACCUCCUAAGUUGGAGUCAGGUCUUAUUCUAGGGCUGAAGAUAGAGCAGGGAUCAAAGCUGACUUGGUCCUGGCUCUCCUGAAUCUACCAGUCAGGUUGGAAAGAUCAAAAAUAACUGAACAAGCACAGAAAAAUGAUCCUCUCUGAGAGUGAUAAGUGUUCUGAAAGGAAGAACAAUUAGAUGAUGUAGACAUUGAUUAGAAUAGAGGCUAUUUCAGAUUGUAUGAACAGGAAAGAUCUUCUGAAAAAAAUAGGGGUUGUGCCAGCCCUUAAAAGAUCUGAAGGAAGAGCACUAGGAAUAGAGAAUAUCUAUGGCAAAGAUGCCAAC